rnacentral:rRNA from 1 species
UACGUAGGCAGCGAGCGUUGUUCGGAGUUACUGGGCGUAAAGGGUGUGUAGGCGGUUGUUUAAGUUUGGUGUGAAAUCUCCCGGCUCAACUGGGAGGGUGCGCCGAAUACUGAAUGACUUGGAGUGCGGGAGAGGUGAGUGGAAUUCCUGGUGUAGCGGUGAAAUGCGUAGAUAUCGGGAGGAACACCAAUGGCGAAGGCAGCUCACUGGGACGAUACUGACGCUGAGACGCGAAAGCGUGGGGAGCAAACAGG